rnacentral:lncRNA from 1 species
UUUUAGCAACAAAAAUUAUCUACGGAAUGCGAUGUCUUAAUUUAGUGACAAAAUUGUUAUGAAAUAGCUGCUGAAUAGCAAAGGAAAGGAUGUAGUUGGUAACGCGUCGGUACAAAGCGACGAAAAGGAUGUAGUUGGUAAUCGGUUGGUAAAAAGCGACGGAAUACCGACGGAAUCUGAAACUCAUUUUUGUUUUUUUUUUUUUUUUUUUUUUUUUUUUUUUGUCGUUGCAAUCCGUCGCAAAUGGGAAAGUAAGCCAAAAAAAAAAAUGGAGAUGGGGAUGGAAUUUGGGUUGCUUCGAUUACAUUAUGAGGUGAUUAUCAAUUUACCACCAAUGAGUCGUUUGAUAAUUACUAACUGGUUUAGUGACGGAGCUAUACAUAUUUAUAUGGGGGUACAAACAUUAUCAAUGAAUAUUCUAUGUAGUUAUUAAUUUGGGGCAUUAAAAACAUGAUAUAAUAUAUUUAGCGGGGGAUACAAUAACAUAGAAGACAGUGGCAGACCUUAGUGGUGCCCCAGGGGUCCCAGGCCACUGCUCCGACGCCGGCAGGUAAUGUAAAUUUUUUUUUUAAUGUUUUUCUAAUGUUUUUUUCUAUUGGUGCACCGAUUUAAAACACGAGUGAUACUACUAAUAUAGGUUUAUUUGGAAAAAAAAUUUAGUGUCACCCCUACGAAAAUGUUUUGCGUCCGCCACUAAUAGAAGAUGUUUAUAAAUAAUUUUUUAUAUACAUAAAACAAUUUUUUUGGGGUGCUGUAGUACCCCUAAUGCCCCAUGUGGCUUCGCCAGUUAGAAGCUAACUGAAUUGGAAGCUCUGACUGAGUUAACUUAGGACUGAAACUUGUUGUUUGAUUUUGUAUUUGACUGACUAAGCAGAAUUACUAUAUUACCCUCAAACAAAAUUUUUUAGAAUAAUUACUAGACACAUCAAUGAACUCAAACAUCAAGAAACUUGCAAAAAAAAUACAAUCUUUUUAUACUAAUCUCACUACAAUAUAUCCAUGUUUAACUACGAUAUCUAGUUGAUAUACAUACUCAAAUCAUCAUCGUAUCAACAACUAAUAUGUUGACCCAUGAUCAAAUGCGAGAUCAAAUGCAAGCACCUUCGGGCAUCUACAAAUUAUCUUCAAGAAAACCCACGUCCUAGGUUAGUAUCAAUAUCAAAGAGCCCCUAAGUCAUUCAGAAACAUGCCCCUUUAUUGUAUUUAACAUAGGUCUACGGAAAAAAAAGUUGACUGGGACUCUAACUCGGGUUUCCUCUUAAAGCAGACAAACAUUUUACCACUAAGCCGUAAAAGCCAAAUACACUUUGAAAUUGUCAACUAUUGAGUUUAUACAUUCCGAUUUGUUAUCAUUAUCUCUAUUAUUGUUGUUUUUGUUGUUGUUGUUAUUAUUUUUAUUAUUAUUAUUAUUAUUAUUAUUAUUAUUAUUAUUAAAACUACACAUUUUUCAAGUAUUUCAAGUANNNNNNNNNNNNNNNNNNNNNNNNNNNNNNNNNNNNNNNNNNNNNNNNNNNNNNNNNNNNNNNNNNNNNNNNNNNNNNNNNNNNNNNNNNNNNNNNNNNNNNNNNNNNNNNNNNNNNNNNNNNNNNNNNNNNNNNNNNNNNNNNNNNNNNNNNNNNNNNNNNNNNNNNNNNNNNNNNNNNNNNNNNNNNNNNNNNNNNNNNNNNNNNNNNNNNNNNNNNNNNNNNNNNNNNNNNNNNNNNNNNNNNNNNNNNNNNNNNNNNNNNNNNNNNNNNNNNNNNNNNNNNUAUAUUUAGUCAAGGAUAUAUAUAUAUAUAUAUAUAUAUAUAUAUAUAUAUAUGUAUGUAUAUGUAUAUGUAUAUGUAUAUGUAUAUGUAUAUGUGUAUGUGUAUGUAUAUAUGUUUAUGUUUAAGUGUAUGUAUGUAUAUGUGUCUAGGUAUGUGUAUGUAUGUGUGUGAAUUUGUAUGUGUAUAUUAAUUUGUAUAUGUGAAAAUGUAUGUGUAUGUAUGUAUGUAUAUCAACAUGUAUGUGUAUAUGUAUAUGUAUAUCUAUGUGAAUAUGUGCAUACCAAUGUAGUUGUAGGUUGACGAUGGCAGCUGAUGAUGGUGGUAUGUAUGUGUGUGUGUGCAUGAAAGUAUGAAAUGUGUGUGUGUUUAUGUGUAUGUAUAUGUGUGUAUGUACAAUCAUAAACAUAUACAUACACAUACAUACACAUAUAUAAACAUGCACAUAUACAUACAUAUACAAAUACAUAUAUACAUACAUACACAUAUACAUGCAUACACAUAUACAUACAUGCACAUACACAAAGACACAUACACGUAUAUAUAUAUAUAUAUAUAUAUAUAUAUAUAUAUAUAUACAUAGACAUACAUACAUAUACAAAUACAUAUCGUCCAAUCCCUAUUUGUCCCUCUCCUCGGACGAAAACCACAUCCCCUCUCAUAGGGAUUUGGUGAUUUUCGUAUAAUCCCUAACUUGGAUUAAGUCCUUACUGCAUUUGAUGAUGUGGAUCUAAUUCCAUUAGAGGGGGUGCUCUUUUGGAUCCUUCUCCCUAUUCACAUACAUAUACAUAUACACAUAUACAUACAGAUACAAUAGGGAUGUUUGUGAUGAUAUCUUUUUCUUUCUAAAAUUCGACGUGGUAGUUGCUCUUCCCCUUACAUACAUACAUACAUACAUACAUACAUACAUAGAUCGAUACAUACAUACAUACAUUAUAACGCCCGCGUUUCUGGGCUAAGCAUUAAUUUUGUUGAGUCUAGGUUAACCUUUGUAACUCAUUUUGAAAUAAUAUGAAUGUAUUAUUUAAGUAUUAUGUGUUUUAUGCUUAAUUGUGUGGCUUAAAUGAAUUAAGAAUAAAAAUAAGCGUAAAAAUAAAAUGUUUGAUAAAACCAAUAUCGAUACAUGAAGACGUGGUGGUCGUGACAAGGAUUCCGAAUAUAUAAAGAAUACCGAGAUCCGAGUUAUAACGAAGAAGUUAUGAUCUGUCGAAGUUUCGCGACAAAACCGGUACGACACUACGCGACGUAAAUAGUGAAUUUACGUUAGAGCGAUAUUUAGCCUUAGUGAUCCUAACGAAAGUCGUAAAACACAUUAAACCUAGAGCAUGCAUAAGAAGAACGUCUAAAUCUGACUUCGUAUGAGGAAGUUAUGAUUUUUCGAAGUUUCGACUUAGUGGUAUGCAGCCCAAAGUUUGAAUAGGAGAUCGAGUGAUUUUUAGCUGAAACAAUCUAAACGAGAAUCGAAGAUCUCAUUGAUAGUAGUCGAAUGGUAAAAAGACAGACGAAAACGGACGUCAGAUGAAGGAGUUAUGAAUUUCUAACGGAGUUUUCCUGUCCCGGUCUACUAAAAAUAAUAUAAUAAAAAUAAAUUCGAAAUUAGCCGACGGAGUCUAAACGAGAGUUGUAGAGCAUAAUCUCACCUACUCAUGGAUAUAAAGAACGUCGAAAACGGAGCUCGUAUGCGAAAGAUAUGAAUUUCUGAAGUUCGAAGCACAAUUUUCGAGGCUGUGUCAGAGCUCACGACGUUAGCAGAGACUGGAGACCCUCCAAAGCAAGUAGAAGAGCAACUAACGCAGUGACGACUAAGCUCACAACGUGAGCACUUGAAUCUCACGACUUGAGAUUGGAAAAUCAGCCCUAUAAAUAGAAAUCGAGGGUUAGCCGAAUUUGGUUGCUCCAUCUCUUCUCUCUCACUCCCGAUACCCUAUAUAGCUAUCCUGAAGUACCCCCGAAGCCCCAGUAUCAUCCCGACGCCCGAAGCAAGUCCCGAAGCUCCGAAGAUCCCAAGAAGAAAAGAGUUUCAGAGCCGAAGCUCUGCCCACGAGAAGUCCGGUUUUUGUGAAGCAUCUCGGUUUCACCGAAUAAUACUACACUUAGAGCCGUAGUGCUAUCUGCGCAUUGUUUUAUCAUGUGAGUGCAUAGUCCCUUUCACAUACAUGAUUUUAAUACAAGUAUUGGUGAAUGUAUUAGAUAUAUGAUAUGAGUAAGUGUGUAGUUGCUUUCUGAUAAUACACAUAUAUGAAUGAUACUCUAUGAAAUACAUGCUAAGUGAUUAUAUACUAUUUGUUAUGUGGUAUUAGUAUUGAAUGAAUAUGUUAUACAUGUUUUAAGCUGUAUAUCAACAAGUAUAUUUUAUCUACAAAUAUGUUGGGUAGAACAUGGGUAGAUAAUGAUGUGUGAUGAAAUAAAAGUGAUGAGAGGCCUCGAUGUGAUUGUGAUCUAGUCGUCCAGCAGAAUAUGGAUGACGACCACUAACUUUUCUAGACAGUUUAGUGGAACGCUGGCAGGCUCAUAACCAGUAGGUGUACUGAACCUGGGUGUUCAUUUGCUGUAUUCUAUCCCCUCAUAGUUGCCUUAGGACAUUCAUUACUGAGGAAACCCCUCUACAGUAGUGUCCAUCCCGAUGAAAAUCCUAGAUUAGGUCCCUUGUUAUAGUUGUUGUCAUAGGGACGUAAAGUGAGGAUAAUGGGAAUGUGUAAUCGGGUUAUUGUUUGUUGGUGAAAUUAAAUAUAACUAUUUAUUGUGGGUUGAAAACCCUAUAUGCUCACCAGGCUCCCAAGCCUGACCCACUCAGUGUCUUUGUAUUACAGGUAGUGGCGCGAGAGUAUAAGUUGGAGAACUUGUGAAGAUGUUUUUGUUUCUAGACCAGUAGUUGUAUAUAACUGUGUAAGGUCUAUGUUUUAUAGCUUAUGCUUUUGUAUUUGUAUCGGAACAUGACAUCCCGACUUUUGAUAUAUAAUGAAAAUACAUUUAUUUAAAGAAAUGCUUGGAUAAACCUUAUUUUAUCAUGUAUUGUUUUGGGGACAAAUUCCGCAACUCUUUUAAAUCAAUGGAUUUACUCUGAAAUUAUUUUAAAAGCAUAAAUGAAACCGGUCUUUUCUGGCUGUGAAUUUGGGGAUGUCACAUACAUACAUACAUACAUACAUACAUACAUACAUACACAUUCAAAUACAUUUACAUAUAUGCACAAACAUAUAUAUAUAUAUAUAUAUAUAUAUAUAUAUAUNUAUAUAUAUAUAUAUGUACACAUUCAUAUACAUACACCAAUUCAUAUACGCAUAUACAUACACAAACACACACACACAUACAUAGAUAAAUAUAUAUAUAUAUAUAUAUACACACACACACACAUAUAUAUACAUAUAUACUCACAUACAUACACAUAUACAUGAUGGGUUAUAUAGGUAACAAAAAUCAUAUUUUUGGAUGAAAAACUAAAACUCUAAGUUCAAUUAUAUCCUAAAAGAUCUAUGUUCUCACUAUGAUAUGCAAACAACAAUUUUAAUUUAAGAACCCCACAGUACAUUUCUAUUUACGAUUUAGGAGAAGGCAUAAUAGAAAACAUACCUUUUAGUUUAUUAUUGUAAAUAAACUAGUAAUCCUUCUUUAUAGAACUUAAGGAAGCCAACACCAGAAAUCUCGUGCCUCUUAUGGCUCACACCCAAACGCUAUCAAUUUGAGGCUAUUGAAGAGAAAAAGGAGUAGAAGGUAUGAUUUUCGGUUCUAAGGAUCUCUUAGAAGAGUCAAUCUUGAAAAUCAUAUGUCUUGGGGUAUUUAUAGGGCUUAAGGAAGUGUAUAAAAGGCAGGUUUCCUGUUGGAUAAUUGUAACCAUUUUCUUUCCCCCAAGCAAUCCUAAGCUUCCUAGAACCCAUAGAAAAGCUCCCUUGACCCCUCUAGAACCGUCCCUUCUCCUAGGGAGGUUAUAGAAUCAGUCAAUGUUCAACUUUUAGACAUUAACACUUUUGGUUCUUUUACUUUUAAUUAAUCUACUUAAUCCCAAAACUAAUUCGUAUUUUUUUCUGAUUAAUUCUUAAAUAAAUAAUAUAAUUUGAAAUUAAUAUGUUUUUUCCAAAAAAUAUUAACAGAUUACUUAUUUUGAUUUCUAAUUAAUUUAUUAAUCAUGUAAUCAAUUAAUAAAUAAGUCUAUCUCUCAAAAUAGUAUUUCAGUCUCUUACUAGGUUUGAGGGAAACCCAAUAAAACUUUGCAAAUAAUUUAAGUUUAUAAUAAUUUAGUUAAUGGCUAAGACACUUAAUCCAACAGUCUCCCAAUUGGAUAAGUCUAUAACUAAAUUACAACUUCCAAAUUAAACAACAAAGUGUGUUUUCCAAAGCAACUGUCGAACUUUGAUCUAAUCAGACAUUGGUCGUAUGAUAAGUGAUCAAAUAUUUCUACAUUCUACUAGAUAUCGUAUAGACGUGAUACAUGAAUUAAAAUCAAUCUCAUUGUCCAAAAUAUUGUUUCCCGAUUUCUCAUUUUUGAUGAUGACAUAAGACUUCUAAUUAAACACAUUAAUUUAGUCAUGCUAGGCCCUACACUACAAGUCAACUCCAAAUCACCGAGGUGACCGAAGAUAUCGCUUUUCUUGUUAGGGAAAAAGGAACGGAUAAACUUUGAUAUAUAUGCUUGUAUUCUUUACCCAUGAAAUUAUACAUGACACUACAUAUUAUAACAUCAAGUAACUAAUGCAUUUCUGCAACACCGUUUGUUCAAAUCAUAUAUAUACACACACACACACACACACACAUAUAUAUAUAUAUAUAUAUAUAAAUAUAUAUAUAUAUAUAUAUAUAUAUAUAUAGAUGUUUUAAGAAUAUAGGAUAUUAUCAUCUCAAAAUUACUCGUGAUAUAAUCCAUAAAGUAAUUCUCUAAGCGUGACUUUAUCCAAUACUUAAAUCUCCAUUUCUAAGUACUCAUGAAUCUUGUUGCAAUACAAUUGCUAUGUCUAACUCCCUUAGACAAUCUACAAUCCAACUCAUGACAAUGUUAAUUCACUACUUACUUCCCAAAGUAUGAGUGACUAUGGAGUUUGAAUAAUUAAAUUAUUCAUGAAGUAAAACAUGCAAAACGAAACACAAGAAUAAACAAUUGACAAAGACAGUAAACAAACUCAUAAAUAAUCUCUAUUAUUUAGUCACCAAAAAUCAAUUACAUUUAUUUUGUUACAAGUUUCAAACUACUCAUCUAACUACUAAAACUAAUAUCAUUUCUCAAACCAAUGUUUCUAGCAUGCUCAUUAUGCUUGACCCUACUCAAAGCCUUCAUCAAAGGAUCUAUAGGAUUCUCUUCUGAUGAUACCCUCUUCACAAUGAGGUGACCUUCUUCUACUCUAUAUAUGAUAUAAUGAUACUUUCUAUCGAUAUGUCUUGACUUUCCAUGGUCUCUCGGUUCGUUAGUCAACACAACCACACCUUCAUUAUCGCAGAAUAGUUCCAUUGGCUCCUGAAUGGUUGGAAUUACUCCAAGAUGUCCGAUAAUUUUUUUUCAACCAACUCAUUUCCUUUAAUGCUUCACUUGCUGCUAUGUACUUUGAUUCGCAAGUAGAAUCAGCCACCGUAUCUUGCUUUGAACUUUUCCAAGUAACUGCUCCAUCAUUUAAUGUGAAAAACCAUUCAGAUUGAGAAUGAAAGUUAUCUCUAUCUUUUUGAAAUCUAGCGUCACUAUACCUGAUCACUCUCAACGUAUCACUUCCUCCAAAGACUAGAAUCAUAUCCUUUGUUCUUUACAGAUACUUGAGAAUGCUCUUUACUGCUGUCCAAUGAGCUCUGUCAGGAUUUCGUUGACAGAGACUGACCAUGCUUAAAGCAAAAGACAUAUCAGGGCGAGUACAUGUCAUAACGUACAUGAUCAAUCCAAAGCAUAUGGAACUCGACUCAUGUCAAGUAUCUCUUCAUCUGUAUUAGGUAUUUGAGUCUUACUCAAUUUGGCAUUGCUAUGAAUAGGUAGCUCUCCAUUCUUGGAGUUUUCCAUAGUAAAUUGUUUUAGUACAUUUUCCAAGUAUGUACUUUGACUAAGUCCAAUUAGUCUUUUCUUUAUAUCUUGCAAAUUCUUAUCCCGAGAAUAUAGGCAGCCUCUCCUACAUCCUUAAUAGUGAAACACUUUCCAAGCCAAGAUUUUACUACUUGCAAGGUUGGAACGUCAUUUCCUUUAAGUAAUAUAUCAUCAACAUACAAUACUAUAAAAGUUACUAUACUCCCACUAGCCUUGAAUAUACAUGACUCAUCCUCACUUUUAAAGAAACCAAACUCUUUGACUUUCUCAUGGAAGCAAUGAUUCCAACUACGAGAUGAUUAUUUCAAUCCAUAAAUGGAUUUCUCAAGCUUACACACUCUAUUGGGAAACUUUUUAUGAACAAAACCCUCUGGCUGACUCAUUUAAACAUCUUCAGCCAACUUCCCAUUAUGGAAACUGGUUUUGACAUCCAUAUGCCAAAUUUCAUAAUCAUGAAAGGCAGCUAUGGCGAGCAUUAUCCUAACAGAUUUUAUCUUGGCCACUGGUGAGAAGGUCUCAUCAUAGUCAAUACUUAGGGUUUGAGUAAAACCCUUCGCAACCAGUCGUGCCUUGAAAGUGUGCACAUUUCCAUCCAUGUUGGUCUUCUUCUUGAAGAUCCAUUUGUAGCCAACUGUCUUUCGACCAUGUUGUUGAUCAACCAAAUUCCAAACUUGAUUGUCAUACAUGGACUUGAUCUUGUUGUCCAUUGCCUUUUUCCACUUUGAAGCCUCAGGGCCUUCCAUCGCUUCCUUGUAGUUAUUAGACUCGUCCAAAUUUACCAGUGUUUGACCACUGAUAAACAUAUCACCAUCUGACGUUAUACGGAAACCAUAGAACGUCGGUGGAUGCUAAAUGUACUAUAAUGACAAAGAGGUAACGAAUGGUCAACUGACUCAACUGCAAUUUAUUCUUCUGUUUGAGUGCUAGUGACUUCAAAGGUUCUUUCAUUGACUGACUCUUGAAUCUAUUCAAGGUCAAUUGUGCUCCCACUAUCCUCUUUACAUAUGAGCUCUCUCUCUCUCUCUCUCUCUCUCUCUCUCUCUCUCUCUCGCUCUCUCGCUCUCUCUCUCUCCCUCUCUUGAAAGGAAUUCUCUUAGUGCUACGAAGACCAUGUUUUCACUAGGUCUGUAGAAAAAGUGUCCAAAAGACUUUUGUGGGUAGCCAAUGAAAAUACACUUCUCACUUCUGGCUUCUAGCUGGUUAUGUGUCUCCCAUCUAAGGAAAGCAUAACAACCCCAUACUUUGAUAUGUGCUAAGAAGGGAACCUUACUUGUCCACAUAUGGUGAGGUGUUCUAGGAACCUUCUAAUGGGGAAAAGAUUGAGAAUACGGGCGAAUGUCUCUAAGGAAUACCCCCAAAAGGAGAUGGGAAGAGUGGAUCGAAUCAUCAUGGAACGAACCAUAUCCAAAAAGAUCCGAUUGCACCUCUCAGGCACACCAUUAAGUUGUGGUAUCCUUGGAGGAGUCAAUUGUGAAACUAUUCCACAUUCCUUGAGGUAGUCGUGGAACCCAAUACUAAGAUACUCUCCUCCUCUAAUGGAUUGGGGCAUCUCUAUCUUCCUGUCUAAUUGAUUCUUGACUUCAUGUUUAAACUCUUUGAAAUUUUCAAAGGUUUCUGAUUUAUGUUUGAUCAAAUAGAUGUAGCCAUAUUGUAAGGGUCGAAACGUUAAUAGUGAGGAGUCGAAUUGGCCAGAGUCUAUAAGGAGUCGAAAUCCAAAUAUUUUCAACUCUCUAUCUAUUUUAAAAGGCAUUCCUUAAACGUUUAGUCCUUGUAAUUUUUUGUAUGUCUGUUUGUAUCUUGUAUAUAGGAUAUGUACUAGAGUAGAGUAAUAACUUUUGAGCGCCAUUCUAUUAUUUGUACUCUCAAACUCCUGUACUCAUUCAUACUUUAAUACGAGCCAACCAAAUUAUAUUUAGAUCUUGUGUUCUUAACAGUUUUCUUAGUAUCAUUUAUGUUCGUAAUCAAUUCUAACCCACUACACAUAUCCAUUAUAAUCAUCUGUAAAUGUUAAAUAAAAUCGAUUAACAUCUUUAGUGGUGGAUCUGAAGGGUCCACACACAUCUGUGUAUAUGAGGUCCAAUAAUCAUUCACCUAUUUCACAUGAUCCAGUGAAAGGUGAUUUUGUCAUCUUACCCAAAAGACAAGAUUCACAUUCAUCAUCUAGCCUUAGGUCAAAUGAUUCCAACACUCCAUCCUUUUGGAGUUGGAUGAUGCGUUUCUUGUUAAUGCGUCGAAAGCAACAAUGCCACAAGCAUGCCUUGUAUAAACCAUUAGACGAAUCAAUGUGAAAUACACUAUUGCCUAAGCUAUCAACACAAGUCACUAUUUCAUACACACCAUUGCAAGGUAAAGCUUCAAAUAUAAAAACACCAUUUUUAUAAACUAAAAUUGAACCGGUCAAAUCAUUAAACGAGAAAUGAAAACCUUAUCUGAACAAUGCAUGAAACGAAAUAACGUUUCACGUCAUUUCUAAUGAAUAGCAACAAUUAAUCAAAUCUAACAUAACAUCACUACUAAGCAUAAGAUGAUAAGUUGCAAUCUUGUUAACAGGAGAAGAUCGCCUAUUCCCCAUGAUCAGAUUCAUCCUUCCAUGCUCCACCUCUUCAGUUUCUCUUAGUCCCUACAAAUCAGAAAAAAUGUGAAAACCACAUCCUGGAUCAAGGACCCAAAAACGAGUAGAUGGUGAGUUAUUAGUUUGAAUAGUGUAUAUACUUGCUGGCGCUGGCUUCACCUUGCCUUCCUUGAUGUCUUGUAGGUAGUUGGGUCAGCUCCUAUUCCAAUGGCCCUUAUCAUUGCCGUAGUAACCAGUGGCCUCUUUGGGGUCAUUAAUAGCUGGAAUGUCUGAACUGGGCUUCGCCUUUGGGAUAUUUCUAGAUGAACCAACAUGAGCCUUGCCCUUCCAGUUAGCUUUGGGAGCAACCUUUUUUUUCUUCCCUUUGCGUUAGACCAAUGUCGAGAACAGGAGCAUUAAUAGAAGGGGCUGGAUUCUUUCCCAUCAUUCCCGACUCACCAAUAGGAAGUUGUGGAGUUGGGCCAAAAUGAACAGAUAAUAACAACUUGGUAAGAAGUUCAAGACUAUUUCAAUGGCCAACUCCUCAUCGAACCGAACAUUGAUCCUAUCGAGGCAUUCGACGUAUCUUUGCAUUCUCUACACGUGGUUACACAUAGACACUCCCUCUUUCAUUUUGCAAUCCAUGAGAGCUUUGACUACUUCAUAUUUAUCUUGACGAUCUCUCUUGUGUACUUUUCCACAAGGUCAUUGUUCAUCUCAUAGGGCCAAUAUUCUUCAUACAACCUUUGCAAUUUAGGGGCCAUAGUAGCGACCAUGAUGCAAGCAAAUUUUAUUGCCUCGUCGUAGUGUUUCUUGUAAGAGGCUAGUUGUUCGGAAUAGCAGUGGCCUCAUCGAUUUCAACAAGUUUUUCUUGAAGGACAUAUUCUUUGCCCUCAAAUCGAAUAGCCAUCUUGAUAUUACGCAUACAUUCAUUGUAAUUGGUGUCAUCAAAGGUCACCUUGGAUACGAUAGAGAGUAGGGAUAAACCAGAGUGAUGGGUAGAUGAUGAAGGAGCAAAAGCAUCACCAUGAGAAGACAUCUAUAGAAUAAGAAAUGUAGUUUUAGUUAGAUGAUAAAAUAAUCCUUAAUAUUUUAACCCAUAAUAAAUAAUUAAGGCUAGGACCAACCUAUACAAUUCACAAUGUAAAAGAGGGAUGUCGUAAUCUAAUUAUAAUUUUUAUAAAGGUAGGUAAAAGCAAUUUCCCAAUUUCAAUCGAAAAGAAAUUCCUAGAUCUUUUGAGAUUCGUUGAAUCUAUCAAUGACAUGUUUAAUCUCAGAUUAUGCUCUUGUAUUUGUGACUUGGAUUCCGAGGAUCACAAACAAGAUGUGAAUAACCAUACAAAUAUGCUUCACACUUUUGAUGCCAUUUAUCAUCUCCAAUUGAUGUUCCAGUUAACCAUACACGCUCCAUUAACAAUGAUAAUUUUUGAUAUUUCGAUUAAUUCUUUUUAUAGUCUCUAAUAGUGUGUUGGUUAACCACACACACUCUACUAACAACAUAUAAAGCUUAGCAUGCAAUUUCAUGGAUUAGCACUUUUCACAUUUUUCCUAAAGUAUCUAAGAAUGAGAAUUUUUAAAAGUGGUUUAGUUACUUUAAUAUCAUUAUACUUUAAAUGAAGUUAAUGUCCAAUCAGAUCCUUUCUGCUGACGACCCACCACUAAACAAAGAAGCGGUGGGUGAGAGUGGACAGCCAUUCAACUACCAUUUUAUAGGCAGUUUUCUUAUAACCCCCUAUAGUUCAGAUUCGUGAAGGAGCCAUACUAGCGAUCCGAAUGACUUAAUCUUAUACAUAUAGUAAUUAACUUUUUAAUGUUUUAUAUAAGGUGUAUUUUAAAACAUUUAAAAAACAUACUAUGUUUAAUUACAAAUUCGAAAUUAAUAAAAAUCAAUUCAAUUUAAAUUAAACCAAUAAGGAUUAAUUAAUUUAUUUACUAUAAAAAUUGAUCAAAUAAGUUUUAACCCUAAUCCAAUAUCCUAUAAUUUCGAGAUUAGGGUUUGAGUUUUAGCAAAUAGUUAUUAUCCAAUUUAAAGGUAUUUUAAACUAAUAAUUAUCAAAACAUGAUGACCCUACCAAAACCCUAGCAAUUGUGAAAAUGAAGGAGGCUAGGGUUUCUAAAAUCCCUUGACCAAAUCAAAAACCAUCAAAAGGGUUUUUGAUCUUAUUCAACUUUGUGCAAGAUCAUAGAUAACAAUCACUUUGAUACCAUUGAUGGGCUUUAUCGGUAACAAAAAUCAUAUUUUUGGCGGAAAACCUAAAACCCUAAGUUCACAUAUACCCUAAAAGAUCUAUGUUCUCAUCAUGAUAUGCAAACAACAAUUUGAAUUUAAGAACCCUAAAGUCCAUUGCUAUUUUCGAUUUAGGAGAAAGGAUAAUAGCGAACAUACCUUCAACUUUAUUAUUGUAAAUAAACUAGUAAUCCUUCUUUGUAGAACUUCAACUUUAUUUUCGGAUAUAAGGAUCUCUUGGAAGAGUGAAUUAUGAAAAUGAUAUGCCUUGGGGUAUUUAUAGGGCUUAAGGAGGUGUAUAAAAGGCAAAUUUCCUUUUGGAUAACUCUAACCUUUUUCUUUCCCCCAAGCAAUCCUAAACAUCCUAGAACUCCUAGAAAAGCUCCCUUGACCCCUCUAGAACCAUCUCCUCCCCUAGGGAGGUUCUAGAAUCAGUCAAUGUUCAACUUUUGGACAUUAAAACUUUUAGUCCUUCUACAUUUAAUUAAUCUAGUUAAUCCCAAAAUUAAUUCAUAUUAAUUUCUGAUUAAUUCUUAAUUAAAUAAUAUAUAUUCUAAUUAAUAUUUUUUACAAAACUUUUUAAUAAAUUAUUUAUUUUGAUUGCUAGUUAAUUUAUUAAUAUAAUAAAUUAAUAAAUCAUCAUUUCUCUCCAAAAAGUAUUACAGUCAAUUACUAGGUGUGGAGGUAAUUCAAAAUGACUUCAUUAAUAAUUUAAGUUUAUAAUAAUUUAGUUAAUGGCUUGGACACCUAAUCUAACAAUACAUACUUACACAUACACAUUUAUAUACAUACAUGGCCGACCUUAGAGGCAGGGCAAGUUGCGGUACCGACCUCGGGCGUCACAUAAGCUUAGGGCCCCAAGGACAAAAUUCCCAUACAUCCACAAAUUUACAUACACAUACAUAUAUAUACACACAUACUCCUAAAUUCACACACACACACACAUAUAUAUAUAUAUAUAUAUACAUAUAUAUAUGCGCACACACACACACACACUCGCAUAUACAUACACAUACGUACAUGACAAUUAUAUGUUUUUGUCGAGCAUCUUUUUUUACUCACCCAAAACCACAACUACGAAUCCGUGUUAGUUACUUCAAUAAUAAUAAUAANNNNNNNNNNNNNNNNNNNNNNNACUUCAAUAAUAAUAAUAAUAAUAAUAAUAAUAAUAAUAAUAAUAAUAAUAAUAAUAAUAAUAAUAAUAAUAAUUUUAUUAAUAAAGUUAUGAUAGUAGUAAUAAUUGGAAUUGUAAAAUUAAUAAUAAUAAUGGAAAAAUUUUGGAAAAAUUAUAUUUAAUCCCGCUUUCCCCAAUUUUUUUUUGAUUUAAUCCCAAAAUUGAUAAAUCCUGCGAGGUUUUGCUUUACAUCCCGUAAUCCCCAAAAUUAGGUUCAGGUAUCGAUUCUCUCACGUCGCCUCUCAUUCACGUCUACUCUCACGAAGCCACCCUCCCCCAUCGCUACCCUUGUAAAGCCACCGAACAUCGUCAAUUACCAAAACCUACAACAUUGCACCCCAUUUACCAUCAUCAUCACCGAUUCAAAAUCCCAACGGUCAACUUGGCUGCCAUGCUCCGGAUGUAACGUCCCAUUUUCACAACACAAAUUUUCAUUUUUAUUAAGGUAAAAUUCUCAAUUUAUUAAUCUAUUAUUUAAGAACAAUAAUUUAUUCAAAAUUACAUUUAUUAAUGUCAGAGUAUUAUAGGAAACACUGAAUCUUCAAAGUUACUGAUGAGUAUGUACAGUCCCGCGUUUGCCUUCCCACAAUCAAUGAUGAUAACUGAAACAAUAAACAAAUGGAUAAGCAUAAAGCUUAGUGAGUUCCCCCAAAACACCACCACAUAAAAAUAAUAAUAAACAACAUGCAUAUAGAGUCUUUAUCCUGAAUGGAACGCCACACCGACCAACAAACUAUCUGCAACGCUCACAGCACCUUCAACAUGUCUAGAAUGCGUCAUUGCGCCUUCAGCCUAUUUGGACUGUUCUUUGGGCCUUCGGCCUGACUGGUACGCCUUUCAUGCAUGUAUUCUAUCCGUGACGCCCUGAGUCUUUUGGCCUUCAGUCUACACUAAUUCACCUCAACCCAAACCGCUCCUCCCGAGCCUCCGUGCCUACGGCUUACGGCCAUCCCGCACCGGGUAUCUUUCCUUACCGCAAAAAGAAGGACCACUUCAUCCCAAAACAAACACCAUAUGUCAACAUAUAAAAAAUCAGGAUCAAGUAGGCACAUAAUACAGAAAAACAACAAUCAUACAACUCACUACUGCCUACUUUCCCUCUCACAUCAUACAACCCUAAUACCAACUAACCUCCAUAGAAUUCGUAACCAUAAGUAACAAGAGGUGAGAUAGCCACCUGAAAAGAUGGUCCUACUCUAGAUCCACAACCAAACAAUGAACAAGCAAUAUAGCCUAGACCAAGAGUCCUGCGGCUAUCCUACAUGACCAUAGACAAUCCUUAAGGGCACUCUAUAGAUGAUAACCAACAACAUAUACAUACAAUCCUAUAGUUUAUUACAACAAUGCAACAUACUCAAUACAAGGAGAAAGAUCUAACAAAUCACUACCUUAUAGCAGAAUACUCUAUACCAUAACAAAAAUGUAAUAAAUCACUACAACAUAGCAGCAUACUCGAUACCAAAACACAAAUCUAACAGAUCCCUAAGGUAUUCCUCUAAUACCAGAUAACCAAAACUAUUGGGCCGACAUUGGUGCCUUCGACCCAUAGGUACAGUGAGGUGCAACUCACCUCGAUAUGCAUUUAGGUAAACACUGUAGCAAUAAAGAAAUCUACCAGCUUCAACUCACUUCCAAUCACCUAUAGGAAUAUACUUGAGUGAAUACCCGAUCACAGGUCAUAGUCACUUGCAAUACUGACCACUUCACAUGAAAUGACAAUUAGGUUUUCACAUAAAUAACGAUUAGGAUUAAGUAGGAACACAUAACCCAUUAAGGACUUAAUCACCUAAGGGUAGGACUGAUUAAUGUUUGACUUAGUCAUUCUCGGGUAUAAUAAUAAUAAUCUAAUCAAUAGCCCAAAUAUGCGCCCGAUCAUUGUCCAAAAUAGGGCUCCCCAAUUCUAGGGUUUCCUCAUAAAAUGAUAACUAGGGUUAGUAGUCCACAUGAAACCUCCUUAUGGAUUUAAUUCAUUAAGUCCAGUAUUGCAUUAAGUUAAUCGUAGGGCAUUAUUAAAUAAUAUUUAAAGUUUAAUUAACAAUUUUAAGGCGGCUCCCGACCAACUCCAAAACUAAGGUUUUCUUUAACAUUACGGUUUUCUAAACCCUAAUUAGGAUUUCUAAUUCAAACGCAUGCCACUAGGUCUAAUGUUAGAUGUUUAGGUAAUUUAAUGUUUAAUAACUCGGGCACCACCCAAUGCCACCUUGGGUAAUGGUGGUUGGAGGCGGUUAGUGGCAGCAACAACCCACACACGGGGGCGGCGGAAACAACCUCAGAAAGUAUGGCAUAUCGGUCAUCAAAGUACUCCAUCAUAGCGGUCUUGAUAGACCCAACCAAGUCCGAUAUCUGCCCCCAGACAAAAGAAACAACUUCCUCACAAAAGAUCUCCCUAACAUGGACCUCAGUCAAUCGUGGCCCAUUCUGGCAACUAGCUCUGAUCCCUAAUCUUGAACCUCCAAUAGUCGCCAUACUAAAAAUAUAUAAGGGAAAUAGUAGACAUCACAAUAUGAUGCUCAACACACUAGGUCCUACUCUUAUAAGUUCUUUAGCAACCUCAAAAUUCUUCCUGAAUCUCAUACAAAUCAUGUGCUUUCAGUAGCACGAGACCAUACUACCUUCCACACAUAUCCUUAGUUGAUUCAGAAUUCAUUCCAAGGUGCUAAGUCACAGCACUAAGCCAUUACUAGGUGUGCAAACACCCACUUCUCCUGCGAGCUACAACUAACUCCCUAGGCACUCUACCUAAGAUUACCCUUUCUCCUGCACCAGCAGUUGCUUUUGUGCAUGCUUGUUGUACACAACCUGAGAUCAGAUAAACUAUAGAAUAAUCAACUCUGCCCAAAGUCAACAACCAAACAAGGAACAGGAAGAAAGUCCAAGUCGAUCAUUAUAGGGAUAUCCAAUGCGGCCAUAUACAACUAGUCAACAUACACACAACAAUCACAAUAAACUAAGACACAUUAGACAAGAAACUACAUAUAUUAUUAGGCAUCACAAAAAUCAGGCAUUUCUAUCAAACAGUUUCUAAAAGAACCUUAUCCAAAAGCAUGCUUUACUAACAAUUCAUAUAUAUAAGCAAAAUCGAAACUCAACAAACACAACAAGUAUGGGUAUUUUGGGAACCAAUCUCCUGUUCAAGCUGUAGCUGAUUGUACACACCACAUCUUCCUGAAAAAUCAAAUUUAGGUCAAGGUCCACAUUUCUGAUCCCAAGCCAACAAUCAAACAAGAACAUGACAAGAGACCAACACAUGUCCUUAACCCAACCCUUUUAUUAUAAUUUAUUUUUCAAAAACAUUUUGCAAAAACUCUCGAAUCUUAGUUUGAGACUGGAUUCACACAAGUGUUCCUCCAAUUCACCCAAACCAAGACUCUAAUACCAUCUUGUAACGUCCCAUUUUCACAACAAAAUUUUUCAAUUUUAUUAAGGUAAAAUUCCUAAUUUAUUAAUCCAUUAUUUAUGAAAACCCAUUUAUUCAAAACUACAUUUGUUAAUAUCAGAAUAUUAUAGGAAACACAGAAUAUUCAAAGUUACUGAUGAGUGCGUACAGUCCCGCCUUUGCCUUCCCGCAAUCACUGAUGAUACCUGAAACAAUAAACAACUACAUAAGCAUAAAGCUUAGCGAGUUUCCCCCAAAAUACCACCACAUAAGCAUAAUAACAAACAAUAUGCAUACUAAGCCUUCAACCUGACUGGAACGCCGCACCGACCUACAGAUUAUCUGGAAUGACCACAGAACCUUCAACAUGACUGGAACGCCUCAUUGGGCCUUCAACCUAUCUGGACCGUUCUAUGGGCCUUUGGUGUAACUGCUAUGUCUCUUAGGUCUGCAGUGUAUCCGGGACACGCUGAUUCUUUUGGCCUUCAGUCUAUAUUGGUCGGCCUCAAUGCAAACUGCUCCUCCUGAGCCUCCGUGCCUACACCUUACAGCCAGCCCACACCAUGUAUUUUUCCCUACCGUACAAAGCAGGACCGCCUCAACCCAAACCAAACACAAUAUGUCGACAUAUAAACCAUCAGGAUCAAGUAGGCUCAUAAUACAUGAAAACAAGAAUCAUAAAAGUCACUAUAGCCUACUGGUCCUCUCACAACAUACAACCCUGAUACCAGCUAACCUCCAUAGAAUGCGUAACCAUAAGUAACCAGAGUUGACAUAGCCACCCGAACAGAUGGUCCUACUUUAGAGACAUAACCAAACAAGGAACAAGCAAUAUAGCCUAGACCAAGAGUUCUUAGGCUAACCUACAUGACCACAGAAAAUCCCUAAGGGAACUCCAUAGAUGAUAACUAGAAAGCAAAUAUACAUCCAGUCCUAUAUAUUUUUACAGCAAAGCAACAUACUCAAUACCAGGAGACAUAUCUAACAGAUCACUACAACAUAGCAGGAUACUCAAUACCAGAACACAGAUUUAACUGAUCACUAUACCAUAGCAGCAUACUCGAUACCAAAUCACAAAUCAAACACUUCCCUAAGGCAUCCCUCUACUACCACAUAACCAAAACUAGUAGGCCGACAUUGGUGCCUUCAACCCACAGGUACAGUGAGGCGAAACUCACCUCGAUAUGCGUGUAGGUAACCACUGUAGAAAUGAAGAACUCUACCAGCUUCAACUCACUUCCAAUCACUUACAGGAAGAUACUUGAGUCAAUACCCGAUCACAAGUCAUAGUCACUUGCAACAGUGACCGUUUCUCAGGAAAUGAGGAUUAGGGUUUCACAUAAAAUGACGAUUAGGGUUAAGUAAGAACACUUAACCCAUUAAGUACUUAAUCACCUAAGGGUAGGACUGACUAAUGUUUUACUUAGUCAUUCACGGGUAUAAUAAUAAUAAUCCAAUCAAUAGCCCAAAUACGCGCUCGAUCAUUGUCGAAAUAGAGCUCCCCGAUUCUAGGGUUUAAACAUAAAAUGAUAACUAAGGUUAGUGUUCCACACUAAACCCCCUUAAGGACUUAAUUCAUUAAGUCCAAUAUUGCGUUAAGUUAAUUGUAGGGCAUUAUUAAGUAUUAUUUAAAGUUUAAUUAACGGUUUUAAGACGGGUCCCGACCAACUUCAAAGCUAAGGUUUUCUUUGAUAUUAGAGUUUUCUAAACCCUAAUUACGGUUUCUAAUCCAAACGCGUGUCACUCGGUCUAAUGUUAGAUGCUUAGGUAAUUUAAUGUUUAAGAAGUCGGGCACUACCCAAUGCCACCUUGGGGAAUGGUUUCAAGUGAUAAUUCCAAUAAUCCAAGAACACAUAACGUUCCUACAUCAUUCAUACACACACUAGCAUAAAAUAGAAAACCAAAAUGUCCAAUACAAACCACCAAGAUGGUGGCAGACGGCCGCAAGAGGUCGUAGCCACCACCUCACGGUGGUGGUGGAGGUUUUCCGGCCAAGCAACACAUACACACACACACACUGACGUAUACUUAAGCACAUACACCCACAUGCAAAAUUACACACAACACAUCCACCCAUUCACGGUGGCAUGAGACUGCCGGAAGACUGUUAGGGAUGGGACAGCCGCUGGAGUGGCGGCAUCGACGGGUGCGAAGUAGCAACGACAAAAACAAAGAGGGAGGAAGGGAAGCAGGUUGUGCCAUUACCGGAGGGAAACAACAAUGACCUUAGCCACGCUCUUCUGACUAAAAUAAAAUAAAAUAUAAAAUACAUCUCGGGGUAUUAUGGCUUAUUAUUUAUUUAUUUAGUUAUUUUAUUUUAUUUACUUUAUUUUAAACGAAAUGUUACACCGGAAUCGGCCACUGAAUUGUUGUUGCCAUGCUCGACUUUCGUUAUCCGGGUCUAUUCCUCUUCAUUGGUUUACUUUUGUUGUGGAUUUACUAUUUAUGUCUAUUUAUUUUGUUACAGGUUGAAGAGGGUAAAUAUGCCCCCAUCUCUUACUCGCACAGCUCCAUCGACGCCACAAAACCUCUGCCCCCGCCGCACAACCUUCCUUUGACCGCCACUUCUCCAUGUAUGCAAUAUAUUCUAUUUCUCUUUCUAUCUAUGGAUUUUUGCUCAUAAUACUUAUGUUUGAUUUGUUUCAGUCGCCCUUGAAUUCAUCACAUUUGAGUUGUCUUCGACCUUGUGGAAGGUACGUAUUCCCUUUUUCAAUUUCAUUACAAUUGUUUCUUUUUGAUUUUAGGGCUUGAGCUUGAAAAGUAUGAACAAUAAUAUAAAAUUUAGUAUGAUGGAACUGAUUAAUAUAUGUGUUUAUAUGUUUUGAUGUUAGUAUUUCUCAUAUUUUAGUGCCAUGUAAGUUGUGAUAUGCAUUAGGGUUGAAUAGAUUAGUUUUUACAAUUAUUAGAACAUGUUUCACAUGGAAUUACAUAAAGAAAUACUAGCAAGGUACUUAGUUAGUUGUAUGUUGUAGCAUCUUACUUCUAUUUCUUUUUAUGACAACAUGGUAAUUUUAGUUUUUUUCUCAUUAUAGGAAUGUAAUUUGAAAAACGUAAGAAAUAACAUUAUGCUUCUAAAUGAAAGUUUUUUAUUUUUGUUAAAUUGCAGGAAAUAACAACACACUCUCUCUUUUUUACCAAUAUGGGCAACGUGUUUUGAUUUUUGUAAUCCUAUAAUGGAUUGAAAGUCACAUACAUUGUUGUUAUUUAAAAAUAGACUACAUUUAUUAAUUAUAUAUGUUUUACUUAGCAUUUUUCCAGGUGUGGGAGUUGUGGGCACAAGUUCAAAGGCAUUGUAAGUAGAAAUGCAACGAAGACAAAAACAACUUGAAAAAUAAUUUGCGGCUUGUAUGUGAGAAAUCAUUAACCAUCCGGUAAUCCAUCAAAUGAUUCUCAGUUUUUAUGUUUUAAACACUUAGUAAUAUAUUUGACACUUUGAAUGUAUAGAUCAUGUUAUUAGUAAAGUUUAUUUUUGGAAAGUAAUGUUUUUUGUAAUGUGUUAAACACUUAAUAAUAUAUUUGACAUUUUGUAGUUUAAUUUAGUGAACUUUUAUUCAGUUUUGGUUAGAAUUAACUGAUUUUUUUUAAAAAAAUUACUCUUUUUUUUAAACAAUAAAAAAAGAGAGAUUUUAGUGACCGAAUAUCUACCGAAAAUCCUCGGUAAUGUCAGCCGUCGGAAAUCCGUAGGUGAUAAAGUCAAUGUAAUUCAAAGUGAGUCCCGUAAGUAAUCCGUAACUAUUUAUUUAUGUAACAAUUCCAUCAAUAAUUUAUUGAUGGAAAUAUUUACCCACGAGCGUUUAUGUUAAGGCCCAUUUUGCGUUGCAAUUCGGUAGGUAUCUCCCUAUACCUAAGGAAUACCUAUGGAUUGUGCCUUUAGGUAUUAUAGUAGUGAGAAAAAUGAAUUUUCUAGUAGUGAGAAAAAUGAAUACAAACGUAUGAUUUUACAAGCCAUUGUCAGUUUGUUGCUCAAGGGAAAACCAAAUCCACCAUAACAAGAUUCUUGACGUUUUACGGCCAGCGCCCAUCAGCAUCACAACAAGAUAUGCAUGUGUGGUGUGUGCAUAACUUGAAUUGAUUUUUUAUAUUUUGCGGGAACAUAUAUUUAAAAAAAAUGUUAUUAUUUUUUUUUUUUGUUGUUUGUGUAAUAGCUAGAUGGUUGGACAUCAUGGAUCGGCGGCUGCGCGAGGGACAAGUUUUCUUAGUUUAUCAACUUGACGAGGCAAUUCUAGAUUGUCCAUGAGUUUUGUGACAUUUAUGACAGUUUGAAUUUUGAAACCUCAAACAAGUUUAUAUUGAUGAACAUUAAUUUCAGUGCAGCGAAGUAGACAUAUUUCUAGGGAAUGUACAGAAACCACACAUCUGCUCAUUUUGUUUUUUCCUAGUGAAAAUGAUAAGUUAUAUAGAUUUCGAUCUCAUACAGCGACUUCAAUGAUGUGAUUCGGGACACUUGUGUGAGCAUGUGGUUCAACAGCUACGUGACCAACAUCAUUUUCUUUUUCUUUGAGUUUGGCAACCACCGGAAGAAUAUCAGAACACAUUACAGCACUCCGCUUUACCACAUCUAUCGUUUUGUGAUCUUUUAUUUCCUGCUCCACCAUUUCACUGAUAGGAUAAGUUUUCUCUUCAAAAUCAUAUACUUUUUCGUUGGUAAUGAGCGUCUUAUUCUUGUAUGCAAAGUACAAUGUCAUUUGAAUAAUACCGAAGGUGAAUCCAAGUACGUUUGGAAUCUGUAUAUAGAACAAGUCAUUCUCAAAAUCGUUAGAGUCGGAGUAAUAUUUGUUAAAACGAGUUAUCAGGAUGAAUUAGAUUUUUCCAUACCGCAAUAUUGAAGUCACCUAGAAGAAGACCAUAAAAGAACCACAUUACGGCACUAACCGUAAGUGCUACUGAUAAUAGAAUAGGCAUGUACUCUACACUUUUUGUUUUAAUCACUUCUCGCUGAAAAAUAAUGUGAAGAAAUAUUAAAACAUAGCAUACAUAUACUAAAGAAUAUAUGUAAGUGUAAAGUGCUAAUAUUUUUUCUAGUGUCAUAAAGUGUGUGGUAUUUAUGCAAGCAUAUAUAUACUUACGAGAACUCCCAAUGGUGCUACAAAAACACAUAAAGAAAACACAAGGCAAAUCCAUCCAACUAUCACCCCACGGUUAACUCCGCUUACAAGGAACUGGGUUGAGAAAACAAUCAAUCCGAAUCCAACUAUGACUAGCAAUAUGAUUAGCUUCAAACUUUCCAUCUGCAAAAAACAAGUUUAAAUGUGUUUAAUCUUCUUUGAUGAUAACUAUAUAUGAUCUUUUGUAAAAUUUCAUAGUAAAUUAAGUAAAGAUUAACAAGUACCCGAGCCUUCUUUGGUGCGUAGAAGAGAAAAAAGCAUAUGUACAAUGUCUCGAUGAUACACCCAACUGAGUUAAUCGUGAUGAGAAGCAUGACAUUGGUCUUGAGAAAUGCGUAAUAUAUCCAAAGCAUCGCACUGAAUAAGCCCACUACAUAAGGCGCUGAUUGAUACCCUUCUGUCGAUUUCUUUUUGUAAAUUUUAUAAAAUGUCGGUCUGCAUUUUCAUUAAAUUUUCUUGAUCAGAGUUAGCAAAUAACCUAGCUAAGCUACCACCUACCAAGCCGCUAAACUAAUAAGUGAGAACGUAACAAGACUUACAUGGGUGCGAGAAAUACCAUAAACGAGACAAUAUUUCCUGCAAGUUUGAGAAAGCAAUAUGUUAGCAACAUAAUCAUGCAUAAGGAAAGGAGAGUGGAACACAAAGUGAAGGCAACAAGUGGCAUGUAUAUACCAAGAAGGCCAAAAGCAAGAGUGAGAUGAACCAUGUUGAUCCUAGCCAUUUUCCUUUAUAUAUUGGUUAGUCAGGAGUAGCUCUUCUUCCUAAAGUAAGUGCGGUUUAACAAAUAUGCUACCUUUCACUCUAUAUGUGUGUUGUUAGUCGUGAUGAAUUGUGCAUAAGAUAUGGUAAAGUGACCCCUAUAUAUAGUAAGAUAGAGUUGAGGCUGCUGACGAUCAUUAUCAUUAACAUAGCAUCUAACUUGAUUUAUCAUCCAUCAAAUUUUAUAAUCUAAAGAAAAUUCAGGAUUAUAUUGACACAUGAUUGUUUACAGGUUUUUAAUUAAUACAGCACUCAUUUUCCUUUGUACGUUUCUUCUUUUAUUUAUUUAUUUAUUUUAUUUAUUUGUUUUUUUGUCGUAGUAACUUUUUCUAAAACAUAUAUAUUAUUUUCCAUUUUUUUCGAAUGAGACAAUGAUACAUAUAGUUUUUCCCUUCAUAUUUCAGAUUCCAUAGUGUUAAUAACUGCAUGUCGAUCGAAAACCAUUUUGGAAAGAAAACAUUGCUUACCUUUGUUGCUUUACAAACUUCAAACGUGUCACUUUCAUGAUCACUUAAAGAAAUAAAUAUAACAGUUACACGUUUACCUUUAGUAGACUUGGAUGGUUUUAAUUCUUAAAAUCUAACAUCGUCUAGUUUCCCAACUUAGCUGCUUUUGUAGGAUUAUAAUGCAUCUAAUCAAUCCCACAAUACCUUACUUGUUUCCAUUAAAUAAAAAAAAAAUCCCACAAUCGAUCCCUCACUUUGAGGGCACCCAGCUACUUGCUAGUAUAUAUGUAACCACCCAUCCAAUUCGUCGGUUAUAUAUAAAAUGCAUGCAUCUCAUUUAUUUCCAAAUAGGUUUACAGUACAUUAUAAAAUUAGAUGAACUCUAUAAAAUUAAAUGGAUUGUCACAUCAUCCAUUAAACAUCUAUAAAAUAACACCAAUAACUCAUUAAACAUCUAUUUAAUCAUAAUCACCACUUUAUUCAAUCUCCUGAAAUAUUCAAUGAUUAUUCAAUUUACUCUCUGUUCAACACCUAUUUAAUCCUAGUCAUCACCCGAUUUAACCUUUAUAUUAUUUGAAUUGUGGGUGCUCUAACGCUCGAUGCAACAUAAACCACAUUUUUUGCUCUUCCACGUCAUUCUUACCAUAAAAGUGUCAUUUCGUUGCCACACGUUAGGUUUGGCGCCACACUUUUUUUAAGAACUUUAUUUAAAUAAAAGCAUGAAAUUUCAUAAAUUCAAAAAAAAAGUACAUACUAAAAUUAAAAUAAUUUUAAAAAUGAAAAACACAAAAAACUUUAAAAAAAUCACAAAUAAAAUAACUAAAACAUACUACUUGAACUAAAAUAACUUGAAUAAAUGAAUACACAAAAAACAUUAAAAAAAAAUCACAAAUAAAAUAACUAAAACGUAUUACAUGAAGUGUUCAUCCGGGAACUCGUCUUCCUAGUCAUCCGAGGGAUCCAAAUUGAGAUUAAUGUGUUGAAUCCCAUAAAUGUGUUCCACCAAGUCCAUGCGAAGAUUAUGAAUGUUUCAGUGCUACAUAUAUAUGUUCUCUUAUCCGUGUACUCAUCCCCACAAAUUUCUGUUGGUUGUGUUUCGGGGAUGGUUUCAUGCUCGACAAACGCACAUAACGCUCUUCCUUUAUCUUCAAUAAUCAUAUUAUGCAAUAUGAUACAUGCAUAUAUAACUUCUUGAAGUUUUCAUUCACCAAAAAGAGUGCUAGUUUUUUUCAGUAUGUACCAAUGCUUGUUAAGAGAUCCAAAAGCCCGCUAGACAUCCUUCUUAGCUCAUCCGUAAGCUCUUUUGAAUUUUUUCCAUCUAGAAUCAUGUAGAUAGGAAAAUGAUUUAACAAACAAAGCAUACUCAGGAUAAAUCUCAUUAACAAGAUAAUAACCAUACUUACAUGGCGUUUCAUACACUUGAAAAGAAGAAUCUUGUUCAGAACCGUCAUAUUUGUUGUUAAAUAUAGGUGAAUUGAAAUUCUUCAGAAAACGAAUAUGACGACAUUUCCUAGUGACUUUGAGAUAAAAAGAAAUAGAAAGAUAUACGAAAUGGAUUUAGGUUUUGAGAAAUAAGGGUAAUUAAGUUUUAUUUAUAAGCACACACACACACACACACACACACACACACACACACACACAUAUAUAUAUAUAUAUAUACACACAUACAUACUUUGUGAAUCAUGUUUGUAAUAAACAUUUAAAAGUCAAGCCAAGUCAAAAUAGUUAAGAUUUGAUGCAUGAAUUAUGUCAUGCCUUGGAGAUUUCAGUUUUGGGGACACAAGAACAUGGGAUUUCGGUUGUGGUGGGUCAAGAGCACAUGCCUAGGCCGAAAACACCCAAGAUCCAAACCACUAGGACCGAAAACACAAAUUGAGGAGGGGUUAGGACUGAAAUCACAUGGGGAAUAAGGUGAUUUCGGUCAUGCCUAAGCUGAAAUCAACAAUUUUAUCCUCCCUAGGGUGAUUUCGGUGGGGGUUAAAGAGAUAAGAAGUUGACUUUAUGACUUGAUGCUUCACCCUUUUUCCCAUGCAAAACAAUACCCAACAUAUAUCAAAACCUUUAACCAACAGUUAACCAAGCAAGCAUCACAUCAUUUUAUCUCCUUAUCUUUGGACAAAAUCUUUCCCCAAAANCAUAGGGAGAAUGAGAAAGAGAACAAAUGGAGAGAAAGAGAGAGAGAGAGCAUUUUACCGUGUGCGCCCAAAUUGCACGGUGGGGAAGUGUUCCUCUGUAUCACCAUGGCAAAAGUACGGUAGAACAGCAUCCACUCCGUUGAGUAUAAUUAAAAUUUAUGGCUUAAUUAAUUCAUUAACAAGCCUAUCUCAAAAGAUGUGUCAAUUAACAAGUAUGUACUAAUUUGCAAUGUCGUCACCAAUUUCUUGUUGGUGGGUUCCAAUUAAGGAUGUCAAAAAGUCCCGUGGGAUCCCUAUCCCGUGGGGGCCCCGUCCCGUAUGGGGGCAUUUGUUGAAAAAAAUCGGGGACGAGGCGGGGGUGGGUGCAAGGUUAACCCCCGUUUUAAUUUCGCGGGCGGGGGUUGGUAUACCCGUCCCGAAACCCCCGUGGGGGCCCCGUUAAUAAAUUAUAUAAAUUGACAUAUAUUAAUUAUAUAAGUAUAAUAAACAAUAAAAUGAUUUUCACGUACAAAAAUUCAACAAACAACAUNCCCCCGUGGGGGCCCCGUUAAUAAAUUAUAUAAAUUGACAUAUGUUAAUUAUAUAAGUAUAAUAAACAACAAAAUAAUUUUUACGUACAAAAAUUCAACAAAAAACAUGUUUUUAAGUUGUUUGUAAUAUGUAAAAUUAUGUUAUAAAUAUCUAUUUGUUAUCCAAAAAAUAGUUUAUUUUAGCCCAAACAAGAACUUAUUUUAGCCCAAAUAAGUUAGCCCAAAAUCAAUCGGGGGCGGGGAGGCGGGGGCGGGGGUCAGAAGGGGAAUUCGGGGGCGGGGGCGGGGGUGGAAAGGAUGGAGAUUUCGGGGGCGGGGAUGGGGGAUGCAAUCCCGUCCCGUUUGCCCCCAUUGACAUCCCUAGUUCUAAUGGUGUUGGUCCUAUGCAAUGAAGUGCAUUAAUUAUAUAACAUUUAACAAAUACGAGCGUUAUGUCACGGACCAAGUUUCUGGAAAAUUCCACGGACGUCUAGAAAACUCUUGAACGAUCAAGUAUACUCGAGAAAUCUCCGGAGAGAUCGAGAAUGCUCUACGAGACCCUGGAAGGUGCUAGAAUAUUAUAGAUGUCCGUGGAAUAAAGGAGAAAGAUCUGGAAUAAAUGAAGAAGGCACUAAACGAAACUAGAACGACCCGGAAGACUUUGGAAGGAUCUAGAACACGCUAGAUCAUACAAGAACGAUUUGGAUAAUGUCGGGAAGACUUAGAGAUUUCUAGAGCAUCGUAUACAAGUUUACGAUAUUAUAGAGUCUUGUAAAAUCCAUGUAUAUAAUAGGAAAAGUCUAGAUUAGUCAUGAAUGAUCGGGACCUAGAAACUUCUAUUUGAGGAGGUGUAAGGCUCCUAUAAAUAGGGGGGAGGGCUCAUUUGUCCAAACCAUCAAGAAGUUGCCUUGUAAAGAAGUUGAGUUAUAUAAUAGAAGGUUUCUUGAAGUGUCCCUUGUCGUAACUCUUGCUUCCUAAGUUCGUUAGUACAUCUAGAUCGUCGAAGUUAGCCUGACUUAGUCGGAGAAGCACUAAGUGGCACACGGUAUUAACUAGUCUAAAAGAGUCAUCUCGUGACACGGCAGACGAGAUGAUGGAGUAUUACCCCGAGCUGUUUCAGGAUCGAGCAGCAGACUUCGAGGACAAAGUCUAAAAUAAGUGGGGGAGAUUUGUAGCACCUGGUUCUUGGUAUGUAUUCUUUUAUUAAUUCUUUAAAAUGUUUUGCAUUUUGGCCUUGGACUUGGCGAGUUGAAGGACAAACUCGCCGAGUAGAAGGNCACCGAGUAGAAGCAGGAUGGGACGCGGAGUUUAAGCAGUGGACUCGACGAGCCGGGUCUCGGACUCGGCGAGUAGGCCCUGUCUGGACAAAAACCCUAACCCGAUGGUUUGCACCCUAUUUAAACACCUUAACUCGGCCUCCUUCGUCCAAUUUGCUCCCAGAAGACCCCCAUAGCAAACCCUAGCUGUUAUUGAACCAAUCUAAGGCAUUUGGAGUGAUUUUGGUGCAUUUGUGACCCAAGGAAGGAAAGGAAAAGCUUGAAGGAUCAAGAAGAGGCUAGAAGAAUCCGAUUUUGAGCAUCAUUUGCAGUCUACAGAAGGUAUAAAGUCUAUACCUUGUUUGUUCUUUUGAUAGAUCCCAUUUUGUGGAGUUUUAGGGCUUUUCUAAGCCAUUUUGGUCACCAACCAUGAUUGCAAGCAUGAUUAGGGGUUGAUGUUUCAGUUCUAGGCCCUUAGAGGGGUUACAAGGCAGAAAGGAGUGGCUCUUGCACUCAAAGAAGGCCCCAUGCAUUGUAAGAGGUUGUUUUAGGACCUUUUGAGCGCAAGGUCCCAUGCAAGCACGUAAUGUGACAACCCAAAGUUUAUUCCGUUACAUUACCCCGUUACCGUUAACGGGAUAUUCCAUUCUAUAAAAGUUCCGUUAAUUAGAGGUCGCCAAAUAAAUAAAUGUUUUAUUUAUUUAUAUUAUAUGUCAUUAACGUCGUGAUAAAAGAAAUAAAGACACUUACUUUACAUUUCCAUAUUAAUUUGGAAAAAGUUAAAUUUUAUUACGACCACUAAAUCGGGUGCGACCAAAAGCCCCGUUUAACGGCAGUAUCGGGUAGAUUCUCACUGAGCCCCAACUCCAACCCCUAUAUAAGGGAGAGUAAACUCCAUUUCAACCUUUUUCACCCUCUCUCUAUACUCUUUCUCAUAAAACCCGAUUUCGUCCCGAAAACCGCAAGUUUCCGCCUCCAGAUCGUAAGUUCUUGUACCCUAGCUUGUUUUACAACCUAUUUCAUGUCAUUAUAGCACAAAAAUCGACCAUUUAAGCUGUUAAAAAGGAGUUUAUGGCCUAAGAGCCUCCUUAGGCCGUAAACCCCUAAAAAGAGGCCAAAAUGAUCCAAAUUUGUCCCUAAAUGCUUGGAAACUAAUUGGGGAUUUAGCCUAGGAGUGUUUGCACCUUAAAACAAUCAAUUUUGGGGCAUAAAAGAGGGUUUACGGACCAAGCACAUGCUUAGGCCGUAAACACCCUCUAAACUUGUAAAAUCAAGUUCCAAAUACUCCCAAACCACCCUUAGGCUUAAUACAUAAAUUAGGGACUUGCUAUUUUGGGUUUAGAACAUUUAAACACAUAGAUUUGAGGGGUGAAAUGGAGUUUACGGCCCAAGCACAUGCUUAGGCUGUAAACACCUCCAAACCAUGUCAAAUGGUAGUUUUAAUCCCCCCAAAUGGCCUUAUACCUUCACUAGAAAAUGCUAGGGUUGAAACAAGGGCUUCAACUUCAAUAAAAUCAAGGUAUAGGAGUUCACAGCCAUGAACUCCCAUAGGGGUGGUUCAUGGGCCGUAAACUCCCAUUUGGUCCCUUUAAAUGACUUAAACCUAUUCAUACAUUUUAGAUUUGGACCUAGCAAAAUUCCACGAUCAAUAUAAGGCCUUUAAACAUCCUAGAACCCCUCCCCAUGAGUUUACAGCCAUAAACUCAUGGGGAGUUGUCCCAGGGCCGUAAACACCAUAUGGAGAGUUUACUCUUGGAGAGUAAACUCCAUUCCUAAGCCAUUCACACCCUUAAAUGUUACCCGAGACACCCCUAACACUUAACCAAAGUGUUUUCCGUUCCUUAGAGUGUGUAUACUUGUUUAAUUGGUAUUAUAUAUACUAAUUGUAUGUAAACAUAUGUUAUCAUAUGUUAAUAGGUCACUAAGUGUGUCCAAGUCUUUACUUGACACCGAGCACCCAACCGGCACCUUCGUCGGAUCCACUUACACCAGGUGAGUUCAUACCCCUGAAUGAACCUUUUAAAUGUUUUUACAUGUUUUAUAGGGGGGAAUACAAGUUAAACAUGCCAGUUAUCAUAUCAAUCACAUGUGAUUGAUAACCCGCAUGCACAAGGAUUUACCACACUGUAAACUGUUUUACCAAGUAGGAUACUAUAAAUGGUUUUCCAAAAUGUUUUCACUUGUUCAAAACUCUUACUUAUACUGUUUUAUCAAAGUUCAUUUUAAACUGGUUUAUGAAAAGUUUCCAAAGAAUUUCUAAAGUUCUUCAAACUUAUUUUACCAAAGAACAGCAAGUUGUGAUUUUCUCAAGUAUAAAGGUUUUCUUCCAUGUUUUGAUACUCCCUCUUAGUUUAAACUCCUACUUGAUAACGUUUUCACUUCGUGAUGCGUUUAUACUUGUUAUUGCCUCUAUUUCGCUUAUACUUGUAGUCGAUUAUGCCUAUUAGACGCUCUUACUUCACUUGUUGUCGCUUCUACUUCGUGAUACACUUAUAUUUGGUAACGCUUAUACUUCACGAUUCGGUUAUUCCACACUGUACGCUUAUACUUCACGAUUCGGUUAUUCCACACUGUAUGCUUAUACUUCACAAUUUGGUUAUUCCACACGUUUUGGUUAUACUUCACAAUAUGUUCCACUUGUUACACACUCAAAUGUAGUUAGAAGUAUGUUUGUGCUUGUAUAGAUGCAUAUAAAUAAUGAUUGAAGGACUUAGGAAGGCUUGUCCGCACUAUUUCCUUUUCUUUGUUGAGAUGUGGUCUGGUGGGAUCGGAUGCCCAUCCGAAGGUCGUUUGAUUCAUUAGUUAUAUAUUAUGUAUACGAGCAUAGACAUAUAGGUUUACUCUAGUCAGUUCAGUUAUGAGUCUCUACCUCUAGUUCAACACUUAUAUUGGAAACCCACUACCCACUAUUUGGGAUGCAUCUUCGGGACACGGCCUUCUCCGUCGUCUAGUUGGUAACCAGAGUCUCCUGUAGGGAGAGCGGACAUUGUGUGUAUAGAUCCAUACGGGAUUGACACCCCCGCACCCUGACUGCUAGCUACAGUCCACGGCCUACCAAGCCAAGGGGUGACAAAUGUCAUAUUUUAUAGACGCUUGCAGGGCAUCAGGUACUCUAGUGUCGGUUAGUAUGGUUAUGAGUAUCCCAGGUUACCUUAUAAUUCAUGGCCUUAAGGUAACUGUAUUUUACCAGCAAUUUACACUGUAUGCUAGAAACCCACUCUCAGAGUCACACUGUUUUUAGACCUUGCUAGCCGUAUCUUUCAUUUGAUACCGUCUGGGGUCUGUAUCCUCUGUUUUAGACCUUACUAGCUAUAUCUUUCAUUAGAUACUGUCUGGAGUCUGUAUCCUCUGUUUUUAGACCUUGCUAGCUAUACCUUUCAUUUGGUACCGUAUGGGGUCUGUGUCUCUUUUGUUAGACUGAGCCAGGCGUGUCGUUCGUUCGAUACUCUCCUGGAGUCUAUGAUUCCUCUUGCCUUAGUCAGCAGUCUUCACUGCUGAGACAUGUUAUUUUCCCUGAUUUAUCUUGCUUUCUUUAUUAAUCAAAUUCUGUAUUUUGAUAGUGAUAGCGAUUAAGGGAAAACUACUUUUCACCACAUAACUCCGUCCAGUCUUGGUAGAAGACUGCUUUUAUUAAAGAAAAUAUAGGAUUUUCUGGAAAAGACACUAAUGUAAUGGACACUCUAAAACUACCACUUUUAUUAAAAUUAUUUGGAUAAAAUGACACUAAAUACUUAUGAACUCACCAGCAUUUGUAAAAAUGCUGAUACUCGCUUUUCAAAUAACUUGUAUUCUCAGGUCAGCUUUAGACAGGUACAUUCCAGGAGCUUCUAUUGAAGAUGGUUUUGUGCCAAGCUGCUCUUAUAUUAUUACCUGUAUUACUUUGAUAUUGUAAUGUAAACCGUGUAAACCUAUUACUAUUAAUGCAAUGUUUUGUUGUACUUCGAUUACUAUAAUGCAUGUGUUGUGAUACUUGACAUGACGUCAUCCACCCCAGAACGUUUCCGCCAUUCCGGUUUUGGGGUGUGACACGUAAAGGUUGUAACUUUACAUGCUAGAUCGAUUGUAGAAGCAUAGAUCUAUCUUUUGAUCAAGGAUUGUACAUCAGAAAUUGAAGAUUUAGUGAGAGGAUGUAACCGACUCCACGAGUCCACUCUUGGACUCGGCGAGUCCAAGGUUUCUGUCCCAUAUCAAUUGAGGGUCAUAAGGACCCAGUUGAGUGUGGAAAGGUUUUAGGGGGUCCCGGGGAGUGACCCAACGUUCUAGACUAAGUCAUUGUUCUGGAAGUUCAUGGGACUCGGCGAGUGCAUGAGCAGACUCGGCAUUAUAUUCCUUAUGUGGUGACGAGAAUAUUUUCUGAACUUAAUGAGAUUUGUGAAAUCUCACGUUCAUGAAAAGUUAAAAUAAAAUAAUAAUAUUUCUACACACACAUCUCAACAUACGUAUACAUGAAAUUAUUCAAGAAUUUAGAACAAGAGUUGACUUGUACUCUCCCCCAAAAACAAUAAAAACUUAGAAAAAGGUGGGGUGUGAAGUUCACCUUGGUUUAGUUUGUUGGGUGAUUUGAAGAGGUGUGAGGAGUUUCCAAGUUCCAACACUUGGAAGGUUCUUUGAACUUUAGAAAAUCCUAAGAAAAUUUUGUGUAAAUAUAAUGAAGUCUUAGGAAUAAGGUGGAGAAUCACUAGUUAAAGAAGAUGAACACUUACAAAAAUCUGGGAAUUUUCUUUUAAGGGAUGAAACUUGGAGCUUGAAGGAGUUGAGAGUAUUCUUAGGAGUCUUCUGAAUGUGAAUAUGAGAACUUGGGAAAUGGGAGAGUAACUUACGUAUCUAAAUGGGAAGGAUUAGGGGUGACUUCAUAUUUGCUUGGAGGACUGGUGUACAAGGCUUAGUUCUCUUUGGAUAAUACAUGUUUUACUAAGAUUUGCAUGGGAACUGAGAGAUUUGCAUCACAUCAUAAAGUCAAACCCCCUUAUCUACUUAGAAUCCCUUUAAAAAUCUUGGGUAUUAUUUUAUAUAAAUAUGCUUAAAAUAAUCAAUUUUGGCAUAAAAUAGGGGUUUAAGGGGUUUAAGAUAUGAAAAAUACGUGUUUGGAGGAAUUCCCGACGUCAAAAUGCCUUAAAAUGAAGAAAAAGUCUAAAAUGGACAAAAAUCCGGAGCCUGCGAGGGUCCGAAGUCAAUUCCAAAAUUCUGGAGUCAUUCUCAAAGAUCGGGAGUCAACAAGUGAGGUCCGGAGUGUUUUUCUCGGAUCCGAAGUCCAUGCGAAGUCCGGAGCGAAGCCAGCAGUCCAGAUGUAACAUCCCAAAAAUACAGGCCAAAAAUUUCAUUUUUAAAUACGUCAUUAUAAAACCAACAGUGUGAUAAAACAUCUGUAAUACCAUGUCAUGUCAAAACCGAGUAGGAAUAAUCAAACGUUUUAUCAUAAAACAAUAUCAGAGUGUAAUCCCAAAGAUCUCAUGUGUGGAAAACCAUAGUGUGAUGUGCUGCGAUCAAGCCGGCUCCUUUCCUUUAAACACGAAGUACCUGAAACCAAAACUGAAAACCGUAAGCACGAAGCUUAGUGAGUUCCCCCAUCAUACCACAUACCAUACAAUCAUAUAAUGAACAUCUAGGAGAUACGGGCCUUGCCUACGCUCAUGGAGGUACGCGCCUCACCCACACUCCGCUAGCUGGGAGAUACGGGCCUUGCCCACACUCCACUAUCUCUGAGAUACGGGCCUCGCCCACACUCAACCACUAAACCAUAACAUGCAAGUAUAUACAAUCAUAUACUAAACAGCUAGGAGAUAUGGGCCUCGCCCACGCUCAUGGAGGUACGGGCCUCGCCCACACUCCACUAUCUCUGAGAUACGGGCCUUGCCCACACUCAGCUACUAUCACAAAUAUCAUAACACAAACAUACUAUCAAACAUAUCUGGGGUGUCCGAACUACCCUUCGGUCCUAACAACCGAACUUGGGGACUAUUCCCCUCCUACUACCACUAUCACAUAUAACAUAUCAUGCCAGCAUAUAAACAUAUCAUCACAUNNNNNNNNNNNNNNNNNNNNNNNNNNNNNNNNNNNNNNNNNNNNNNNNNNNNNNNNNNNNNNNNNNNNNNNNNNNNNNNNNNNNNNNNNNNNNNNNNNNNNNNNNNNNNNNNNNNNNNNNNNNNNNNNNNNNNNNNNNNNNNNNNNNNNNNNNNNNNNNNNNNNNNNNNNNNNNNNNNNNNNNNNNNNNNNNNNNNNNNNNNNNNNNNNNNNNNNNNNNNNNNNNNNNNNNNNNNNNNNNNNNNNNNNNNNNNNNNNNNNNNNNNNNNNNNNNNNNNNNNNNNNNNNNNNNNNNNNNNNNNNNNNNNNNNNNNNNNNNNNNNNNNNNNNNNNNNNNNNNNNNNNNNNNNNNNNNNNNNNNNNNNNNNNNNNNNNNNNNNNNNNNNNNNNNNNNNNNNNNNNNNNNNNNNNNNNNNNNNNNNNNNNNNNNNNNNNNNNNNNNNNNNNNNNNNNNNNNNNNNNNNNNNNNNNNNNNNNNNNNNNNNNNNNNNNNNNNNNNNNNNNNNNNNNNNNNNNNNNNNNNNNNNNNNNNNNNNNNNNNNNNNNNNNNNNNNNNNNNNNNNNNNNNNNNNNNNNNNNNNNNNNNNNNNNNNNNNNNNNNNNNNNNNNNNNNNNNNNNNNNNNNNNNNNNNNNNNNNNNNNNNNNNNNNNNNNNNNNNNNNNNNNNNNNNNNNNNNNNNNNNNNNNNNNNNNNNNNNNNNNNNNNNNNNNNNNNNNNNNNNNNNNNNNNNNNNNNNNNNNNNNNNNNNNNNNNNNNNNNNNNNNNNNNNNNNNNNNNNNNNNNNNNNNNNNNNNNNNNNNNNNNNNNNNNNNNNNNNNNNNNNNNNNNNNNNNNNNNNNNNNNNNNNNNNNNNNNNNNNNNNNNNNNNNNNNNNNNNNNNNNNNNNNNNNNNNCCAAUGAUUAUUAUUUAAUAUCUCAAGUUAUUAAAUAAUUCUCGUGUGUGUGACACGAUUAAUUCUUAAAGUUAGGUUUUCAUUGGCAUUAGGGUGUUCAAAUCCAAAUAUUAGCCCAUUUAUCAAUUAGUUGGCCUUUUAUGACAAUUAGGGCUUUAUUGGGCCUAAUAAGCCCACUAGAAUCUUAUUAAGCCCAUAUGGGUUUCAUUGGGUCCAUUAGAGUCCAUUAAGCUUCAUUGGGCCCAUUAGAGCUCCUUUGAGCCCAUUAGGGUUUCUAGCACCCCAAACAAAUCUAUCACAAGAGGCAAAGCACACCGCCACCCGACAUGGCAGCCGGUGGCGGCAGGGGGGGGGCGCGCCCCCACNNNNNNNNNNNNNNNNNNNNNNNNNNNNNNNNNNNNNNNNNNNNNNNNNNNNNNNNNNNNNNNNNNNNNNNNNNNNNNNNNNNNNNNNNNNNNNNNNNNNNNNNNNNNNNNNNNNNNNNNNNNNNNNNNNNNNNNNNNNNNNNNNNNNNNNNNNNNNNNNAGCCACCACCUCACGGUGGUGGCUGUGGUGGCUUUUCUCAUAAACUCCGGCCAAAUAAUGAGCAAACGACUUCAGAAACACCCUCAUCUACGGAUCCAAUCCCACAUCCACCACCUCACAAUGACUUAUGGUGACAAAACACGGUUUCAGGGCUACAACCACCAUGGUCAGCCGCCAUGGUGGGUUUUUCUCUCGAUCUCCGACUAGGCUAACACGCACACACAAAACAUGAACAGCAACAACAUCGCACGAUACAUGGAACGAACGCACCCCCCAUCUGCCGGCGAGCGACGUUCGGAGGUCAGCAACAGAAAAGAAUAGUUGCUGGGGCGGCGGGGGCGCGAUAUAGUGGGCAGCGGUGGAAGUUUGCGAUGGCAGCGGCGGCUCGAUGGUGUUGCUAUGAUGGCGAAAUAUCGGUGACAGAUGCAGUUUCCAUGGUGGCGACGACCGAAUGCGAUGGGAGGCAUAAGAGGAGUGCGGCGCUGGAGAGGGAAGGGUGAAGAUGGCAGCUGAUGUUCUACUCUAGGGUUAGGGUUCGCAUGGAGGAAUAAGGUGACGGGUUUAAUACCCGUAUCCCAUCAAACCUUGCAUCCAAAUAACACCUUUGGUCCCUCCUUCCCGUUUUCUUUUCGAAAUUAGGCUACAAUUUACCAUUUAAACCCUGCCCCUUGAAAUACUUUGCAAAAUAACUCUGGGUUUUACUAAACAGCCCCCAACUUCUAAAAUCUUUAUAUAUUUAGCCUUUCUAUCGCAUUUCCUUUUAAAUUAAAUCCAAAUAAUUACCACGGAGCCCCUGUCUUCAUGAAUAUUUAUAAAAUGAGUCCCGAACUCACACUUUUAACCCCAGACUUCUAAAAUUAUGAUAAUUAGCCCUUCGAGACCAUCCUUUGAUAUAUAAUUAUUUAUUUUAGGGCUACUAAUCGUUCAUUAAUUAAUUUAUUUAACUCAAUAAAUAAACGGGUGCUACAACUCUCCCCCACUUAAAUUAGAUUUCGUCCUCGAAAUCACUCCUUGCUAUUCCUUAUAUGCCAAACCACUCUAGUAGUAGGGUCACCAACCUGGGCACACCCUAGCCAUCCCAUGGUAGGCAUGACCAAUCCUCGUAAAGCCCUAAAAUCCGCAGGUGAACGAAUUCCUCACAGUAAGAUCACAUGCAUUUUGUCUAAAAUAUGUUGUCUCGAGAUGGUCUGAAUCCCUAACAGGUCACUCAUACUGAAUCUUUAUCGUUGAAUCUAGUUUGUUUAUCCCACAGCUGACUACUCAACUUUUGAUAACACGUGGUUCCCACUAUAAAGCAGGUUCACAGACCCAAUUAUCCUCGCAGACCACUAAUAUUUGACCAAGGCUCGGAUACUCUCGUUUUGAGUGACUCGUCACUCCUCAGAUCAUCUAGCUAUUUCGUCCAUACUUGCAACCUGAAACACAAUUGCUAACAUUGCCCAUUGCUAAAACUGCUUAAACACUGAACUGCCGGAAGCAGUAUGUUGCUACAUAGCUGCUUUCCAUAAUCUAUCGAGACCUUCCUGGUCUCAAUUUAUCCGUUAAUCAUCUUAAUUUGCCGGGUUCCAGCCCGAUUGCGGAGCCAAAGGACUCCCACUUAGUCGCCUCUCACGACUCCUGAACGAAAUACUUACCUAGAACAAGUUGCCACUAGUUAUCAUGCCACAAUGGCUCAAACAACUUUCGGAUAUAACCGAUCGGUUCCGUGCGUUGAAUCCCGAUGUCACCCAAUCCAAAACUACAAGUGAUUGCUACCUAACCAAUGGUAGUCUUCAUCACCAACGACCUUAAGCAGUCCAUUGCUUCCUUGAUCUCAUAUUUGUAGUGAUGUCCCUACCAUCUCAUUACUGGCUUAACCAGAUCUAAUCCAUUAGGGUAAGUCCGAAAUCCAAUCCGUGGAUUUCCAUAUCCUCACUGCUGCACCUGAACUGGUGGGUACUACUGUUCCUUUCGCAUUCUAACAGCACGCUCAUGCCAUCUACCAACCUAGUGAAUGCUACGGCUACACCCACAGACUUACAACACUCUAUCACUAUCUAGCUACUAGUGAAUGCUACGGCUACCCCCGUAGUCUUACAACACUUCCCAAACCGGGUCGAACACACACUCGACCUAACCCUCAACUGAACUCGAGUCCUAACCGGAACUCUAACCUGGUUCCCGAAACCUACUAUCAUGUGACCCCACUGUAUCAAUACCGCACCCAUGCCCGUGAUCAAAGCAUCACGGUAAACCACGAAAUCAUCUACACCCUAUGGCAGGGUGAGAAUCGGUGCCUCGCACGACCGAUGUCUGAGAGUCUCGAGGCUGCCUGCUGCUCAGACCCCCAACAAAAGGUCACCGACUUCUUGGUUAGUCGGGUCAAAGGAACCACAAUCUCGGAGAAGUCUCGCAUAAAUCUCCGGUAAUAACCCACUAUACCCAGGGAAUUCUGAAUCUCAGAUGGAGACCUCGGAAUCUCCCACUGCAUCACGGCCUCUAUCUUGGCUGAAUCAACUAGAAUACCCUUCUGGUUGACAAGGUGGCCAAGAGAUUGCACCUUGCGCAACCAGAACUCACAGUUGGAGAACUUUAUAAAAGGUCUCUCCCCCACUUAGAUUCAACUAAGUCUUCACGGCACGCAAGAAUUGAAGGAUUUCCAAUCCUUCUCGCUUCCUAGUAUCCCACUAAUGACAACCUGUGCCUACGAAUGCUUACGUUUAAUUGCCGAUUAAACCUUGAGAUCUCCCAUCCUCAAAAGUCUCGAUGAGUACUUUUGAGAUCUGAUCCAGUCUGACACCUCAAUCCAUUUAACAUGCUAUCAAUUGAAGACCUUAAUCUUCACUCUAGCUGACGAAUCCUCGUUCCCACUGCCAAUCUUGCAAUACCAUUGAACUCUAAUCGAACACAGCCCAUGCGAAAACACAAUUCUCUUGAACAUCCAGUGACCAACCACUUAUGCAUCUAACAUCCGCGACUGACACUAUCCUCUUCCUGUCAUCAGUUCCGCCCUAGCAACGGUAGUGCCUUGAACUCCAAAGUUCAUCCAUAAACAAUUUCCGACCAUACCUGAACAAUGAUAGAACCUAUGAACGCUGACUUCAUUAGAGAACAAUCGCUCCAACCCUGAUCGAGUAUCCUCUAAAUAAUACUCCUGCAUAGAUCCCGACAAGGAUCUGAAAUGAUAACGGUAUGCGCGGAACCCACUCCGCAAGAUGCGUCCCUCCUUGGGUUCAUCAAGGACCUUUCGGCAUGCAGGAUGGCAUAGUUGAUCCUUGGUAACCCAAACACUAGCAGAAAAACCAACCUGAGGUCUGACUUAUCCAAACUCGCUCACAAUUCCAAAGCGGUACGUAUUCCAAACAUCCACCUAAUAUCAUAGAAGAUGACAUACCCGCAACAUUUGGGGAAAUACUGGUCACCUUCUGCAGACAUGACCAACCCUGCCACACUUGUAGCAGCCUAAACCCUUGGAGUGACAAACUCCCUCGUGUACUUUCUCGUAUGCACUGCACUGACUUAGGCCCUGCCGGCCUUUCACUCGAUGAUCAGAAAUCAUGGGUCUCUUCCCAAGACCCCUACUAUACGCACCUGGUACACACCUUUCCUUCCAGGGUGCUCCCAAGUCGAUCCCGCAUCUACGACUCUUUAGAAAUCAUAUCCUUCAGGGUCUGACACCCUGUCACGCUCACUAGCUCGCUUGCCAAUGGCUAAGCUGCAACAACUGGAACAUCCUCUGUCCCUAAAUUGGGUCACAAACUCUUCCCUGAAGCUUCUUAGAUUCUCCAAGACUCUCACCGAUUCGAGUAUGGAUCAUGUGCUUUCAGUAGUACGGGCCCAAUACUACCUUCCACACCUAUCCAUGCUUUCAUCAGCAAUCCUCCCAGAUCCUCCAAGUCACUUCCUCAACUGGUACACCCAAGUCUCAUUGAACCUUACUACUAACUCACUGGAAUAUAUCCUAGGCUUCCCUAGGUUCCCGUACCCACCUAGUCCUCAGCUGCUGAAAGAUUCCCAGUAAUGUCAACUAGCUACCUCAUGAAUAUAGCUACAUGCAACAGAGGUCAGAUAAUCCUUCGAGUAAUAGACCCAUUGUCACACCCCAAAACCGAGAACGGCGGAAACGUUCUGGGGCGGAGGACGUCAUGUAUGCAUCACAACAAUUGUAAAGUAGUAAACAAGCAAUAACAUCAUCCAUUGCAUUAAUAGUAUAAUUUUAAUUACAUUUGAUUUCUUUCAUAGUAAAAUUCUACAAAAAUGAAUAUUCAAAAAUUAAAGACGAGUCUUGAUCGCUCCGUCUUCACAGAACCUGGUGGUCGUACCUGUCUAUCCGUGUCCUGGGAAUACAAGUUAUUUUGAAAGCGAGUAUCAGCAAUAAUGCUGGUGAGUUCAUAAGUAUUUAUGUGACUUUGAUUUGUAAAGCUGUAAAGGAAGACCUGUAAAUGUUUUUGAAGGAAAGUUUGUACCAACGAAUAUGUUUGUAAGUAAUUGUAAACGUUUGAAAAUCUUAGAAAAUCCCAUAUAAAAUGUAGCCUUCUGCCAAUACUUGACUGUUUUGAAAUGUUUUCUUCAGAAAUCCAAUAUUUGUUUAUAAGUGGAUGGUAGCUUAAAAGUCCCAAAAUGAACUACCAUGAAUGUUUUUCAUGUCAUAAAAUAGUAGAUNNNNNNNNNNNNNNNNNNNNNNNNNNNNNNNNNNNNNNNNNNNNNNNNNNNNNNNNNNNNNNNNNNNNNNNNNNNNNNNNNNNNNNNNNNNNNNNNNNNNUAUAUAUAUAUGAAAAAGUUCAAUAAAAAAACCAUUAUUUAUCAAUAAACCAAUGAACCAAUCUAAAGCGUUGAAAUUUAAAGCAAUCAAUGACAAAAGAAAGGGUUGCAGAUUUUUACAAUGAACGUACAUGCACAAGAUGUUAACAAAACUCACUUCUUUUUUUUCGUUAAAAUUUUUUUUAGCCAUGUUUUUUGUCGAAAAAAAAAACGAGUAUACCGUUAUUCAAGAUUUUUCGUCCUCUUUCUAAAGAGAUCCAUGAUGAUAUAUAAAAAAACAAACAUUUCUUUUUAAAAAAAAAACUCACUUCAGUUUCUUUUUAAAAAGUUAAGGUCUAUUUUACUAUAGAAAAAAAUUAAUAAAUAUAUCAAAGUUCAUGUUUUUUGUAUUUUUUAAACAUAAAUUCAUAUUCGUGUUAAAAAAACAUAUUUCAGCUCAGAUUCACAUUGUGAAGCUGUUCAGAUUCAUAUUAUGAACAUGUUCAGAUUCACAUUGUGAACCUUCUCAGAUUCACAAUGUGCAUAGGAGUAAGUCAGAUUCACAACGUGAAUCUGAACUGAUCGAGCUUUUCACAUUAUGAAUGUUAAAAGUUGAAAUAUUUACAGUUUAGAUUCACAGUGUGAAUCUACACUGAUCGAGUUUUUUUUUUUUUUUUUUUUUUUUUUUUUUUUUUUUUUUUUUUUUUGUUUUUUUUUUUUUUUUUUUUUUUUUUUUUUUUUUUUU